AUUGAACGCUGGCGGCAUGCUUUACACAUGCAAGUCGAACGGUAACAGGCCUUCGGGUGCUGACGAGUGGCGAACGGGUGAGUAAUGCAUCGGAACGUACCCAGAGGUGGGGGAUAACGCAGCGAAAGCUGUGCUAAUACCGCAUGUGAUCUGAGGAUGAAAGCGGGGGACCGAGCAGCAAUGUUUGGCCUCGCGCCUUUGGAGCGGCCGAUGUCGGAUUAGCUAGUUGGUGGGGUAAAGGCCUACCAAGGCGACGAUCCGUAGCUGGUCUGAGAGGACGACCAGCCACACUGGGACUGAGACACGGCCCAGACUCCUACGGGAGGCAGCAGUGGGGAAUUUUGGACAAUGGGCGCAAGCCUGAUCCAGCAAUGCCGCGUGCGGGAAGAAGGCCUUCGGGUUGUAAACCGCUUUUGGCAGGAACGAAACGGUGUCCGCUAAUACCGGGCGCUAAUGACGGUACCUACAGAAUAAGCACCGGCUAACUACGUG
rnacentral:rRNA from 1 species